rnacentral:rRNA from 1 species
GAUGAACGCUGGCGGCGUGCCUAAUACAUGCAAGUCGAGCGAACGGACGAGAAGCUUGCUUCUCUGAUGUUAGCGGCGGACGGGUGAGUAACACGUGGAUAACCUACCUAUAAGACUGGGAUAACUUCGGGAAACCGGAGCUAAUACCGGAUAAUAUUUUGAACCGCAUGGUUCAAAAGUGAAAGACGGUCUUGCUGUCACUUAUAGAUGGAUCCGCGCUGCAUUAGCUAGUUGGUAAGGUAACGGCUUACCAAGGCAACGAUGCAUAGCCGACCUGAGAGGGUGAUCGGCGACACUGGAACUGGAACACGGACAGGGCUCCUACGGGAGGCAGCAGUAGGGAAUCUUCCGCAGUGGGCGAAAGCCUGACGGAGCAACGCCGCGUGAGUGAUGAAGGUCUUCGGAUCGUAAAGCUCUGUUAUUAGGGAAGAACAUAUGUGUAAGGAACUGUGCACAUCUUGACGGUACCUAGUCAGAAAGCCACGGCUAACUACGUG